AGUUGUUUGUUUGUGGCAACUGUCGGUUGGUACCUUGCCCAACAAUUUAACUGAAUGGAAUCAGCAUAAUGGCCACCAAGGCCCUGCGAGUGCUGUCCAACGUAGCCUCCAUCUGGACUCACUUCAGGGGAAGGCAGGAGGUUGGAACAAUUGAAGCAACCUGAAUGGUUGGGUCAAGCUCCCACAGAACCAGGAUUUUUAGUUUUCCAGUAGAAAUUACUACUGG